GAUUUUCUUUCACUCCAGUAUCGUUUGUACGUUGCAGCAUCAUCAAACACUAUAUGGCCGAUGAAUCAGAAGAUGAUGUAGAUGCUACGAGAGAGCUCAUUUCACAAUGGACAACAGAAGUGAUACGUGACUUUCUACAAGGAGGGGACUCAAGCUUGGAGAAGUCAUUAUUUUAUGGGUGUUCUCUGCCCUGGCGCUGGGGGUACUGUUCAGCCAUUCGAGGUAGAGAGGUAGAGAGGAACUGGACGAUGGAUGGAUGGGGGGGGGGGG